AUUGAACGCUGGCGGCAGGCCUAACACAUGCAAGUCGAACGAGUGGCGGACGGGUGAGUAAUGACUGGGAAACUGCCUGAUGGAGGGGGAUAAGUACCGGAAACGGUAGCUAAUACCGCAUACCAUCAGAUGGGCCCAGUUGGGAUUAGCUUGUUGGUGGGGUAAAGGCACACCAAGGCGACGAACCGUAGCUGGGCUGAGAGGAUGACCAGCCACACUGGAACUGAGACACGGUCCAGACUCCGACGGGAGGCAGCAGUGGGGAAUAUUGCACAAUGGGCGCAAGCCUGAUGCAGCCAUGCCGCGUGUAUGAAGAAGGCCUUCGGGUUGUAAAGUACUUUCAGCGGGGAGGCGUUACCCGCAGAAGAAGCACCGGCUAACUCCGUGCCAGCAGCCGCGGUAAUAC
rnacentral:rRNA from 1 species